rnacentral:rRNA from 1 species
CAGCAGCCGCCGCGGGAAUACGGAGGAUCCGAGCGUUAUCCGGAAUUAUUGGGUUUAAAGGGUGCGUAGGCGGAUAGAUAAGUCAGUGGUGAAAGACGGUGGCUCAACCAUCGCAGUGCCGUUGAUACUGUUUAUCUUGAAUAUGGAUGAGGUAGGCGGAAUGUGGCAAGUAGCGGUGAAAUGCAUAGAUAUGCCACAGAACACCGAUUGCGAAGGCAGCUUACCAAGGCAAAAUUGACGCUGAGGCACGAAAGCGUGGGGAUCGAACAGGAUUAGAUACCCCUGUAGUCCCUGUCUCUUAUAC